AUUGAACGCUGGCGGCAGGCCUAACACAUGCAAGUCGAACGAGUGGCGGACGGGUGAGUAAUGUCUGGGAAACUGCCUGAUGGAGGGGGAUAACUACUGGAAACGGUAGCUAAUACCGCAUACCAUCGGAUGUGCCCAGAUGGGAUUAGCUAGGAGGUUGGGUAACGGCUCUCCUAGGCGACGAUCCCUAGCUGGUCUGAGAGGAUGACCUGCCACACUGGAACUUAGACACUGUCCAGACUUCUACGGUAGGCAGCAGUGGGUAAUUUUGCACAAUGGGGUCAAGCCUGAUCCAGCCAUGCCGCGUGUAUGAAGCAGGCCUUCGGGUUGUAAAGUACUUUCAGCUGGGAGGCGUUACCCGCAGAAGAAGCACCGGCUAACUCCGUGCCAGCAGCCGCUGUAAUAC
rnacentral:rRNA from 1 species